CCUACGGGAGGCAGCAGUGAGGAAUAUUGGUCAAUGGCCGCAGGGCUGAACCAGCCAAGUCGCGUGCGGGAUGACGGUCCUAUGGAUUGUAAACCUCUUUUGUCAGGGAGCAAAGGGCGCCACGUGUGGCGUUUUGCGAGUACCUGAAGAAAAAGCAUCGGCUAACUCCGUGCCAGCAGCCGCGGUAAUACGGAGGAUGCGAGCGUUAUCCGGAUUGAUUGGGUUUAAAGGGUGCGCAGGCGGAAUGUCAAGUCAGCGGUAAAAGUUCGGGGCUCAACCCCGUCGUGCCGUUGAAACUGGCGUUCUUGAGUGAACGAGAAGUAUGCGGAAUGCGUGGUGUAGCGGUGAAAUGCAUAGAUAUCACGCAGAACUCCGAUUGCGAAGGCAGCAUACCGGCGCUCAACUGACGCUCAUGCACGAAAGCGUGGGUAUCGAACAGGAUUAGAUACCCUUGUAGUC
rnacentral:rRNA from 1 species